GUCAAUACCAAAUUCAGUGAAGUUAUGGUUGCAGGCUGCAAAACUGGAGCAUGAUACUGCAAAUAAGAGUAGGGUUUUGAGGAAAGGCUUGGAACAUAUUCCAGAUUCUGUUAGGUUGUGGAAGGCAGUUGUGGAGUUGGCAAAUGAAGAGGAUGCCAGACUUUUGCUUCAUAGGGCUGUUGAAUGUUGUCCUUUACACGUAGAAUUGUGGCUUGCAUUGGCAAGACUGGAAACUUAUGAUCGUGCAAAAAAGGUUCUUAAUAGUGCAAGGGAGAAGCUGCCGAAGG
rnacentral:misc_RNA from 1 species